AGAGUUUGAUCCUGGCUCAGGAUGAACGCUAGCUACAGGCUUAACACAUGCAAGUCGAGGGGCAGCAUGGUCUUAGCUUGCUAAGGCCGAUGGCGACCGGCGCACGGGUGAGUAACGCGUAUCCAACCUGCCUUACACUCUUGGACAGCCUUCUGAAAGGGAGAUUAAUACAAGAUGUUAUCAUGAGUAAGCAUUUUCGCAUGAUUAAAGGUUUACCGGUGUAAGAUGGGGAUGCGUUCCAUUAGAUAGUAGGCGGGGUAACGGCCCACCUAGUCUUCGAUGGAUAGGGGUUCUGAGAGGAAGGUCCCCCACAUUGGAACUGAGACACGGUCCAAACUCCUACGGGCAGCA
rnacentral:rRNA from 1 species